CCCUUUCAUCCAGGCUGAUACUCUCUAACCUGAGAGCAGCAGGCUGGAGAGGCGUCUUCUACAGUCGAGCCGAGGGGUUUAGAAGCGGCGCGCUCCUUAUCUGGCCGACAGUUUUAUUACGCAGCAGACGGAGCGAAUCUGAUAUCGAUCACAUCAGAUCUGCAGAGAUAAAACAGACAGGAAGUCUCUCUCUGCUGCAGCAUCCAGAGCCACAGCGCACAGGUGAGGACGAGCAGACACAACACGUGGAGGCACAGUCAUCCAGACAAGAGGAAAUAUCAGAGCUGGUCCUGGCCGACCUCAGUGUGGGCGUGGAUCACCUGUCUGCUCCAGACCGUCUCACCUGGUGAACGUGUUCACUCUCACUUCCAGCUGCUGAACCACUUUAUGUUUGGACCCUUUUGUUUUGACAUUUCUUUCAUUUCCUGUUUUAUUUUGUAUUACUCCCCUUGUGUGUCUCGUGGUUAUUUUACUUCCUGUCUUUGUCUUGUGUUUCCCUCCUGGUUGAUUGUUGGCCCCGCCCUGAUGUGUUUCACCUGUGUUCAGUCACCUGUGCCUCCCUGGUGUGUAUUUAGUCUCUGUCUCUGUCACGUCGUAUAUAUGAUGAAUUUUCACAUAGAACAUGUUGUGAGUGUUCAAUGUGAAAAUAAUGUUAUGUUUAAAACCCUUUUUCCAGCUGCUUUUCCUUUUCCUGUUAGCUAAUCCAUUAGCUUAGCCAUUUAGCUUCUCCUGUUAGCCUUUCUGUGACACACUGGGCUUCAGUGUUGGUCCAAUCCCAAUUGGCCAUGGGAUGUAACAGGGUCUCUGAUUGGUUGGAGAGCUAUGGGUUUCACCAGCACAGACGGCCCAGAGUGUCACAGAGAGGCUAACAGGAGAAGCUAACAGGAGAAGCUAAAUGGCUAAGCUAAUCGAUUAGCUUAUAGGAAAAGCAGCUGGAAAAAGGAGAUUGAAGAUUAGCUGAGCUCACAUUUUUAAAAUGUCUUUUCAAACAGUUUUUCAAAUUCUAUCAUUAAUCAUAAAUUAAUAAAUAUAUUAAUAACUGGUUUAUUUAAUGAGAGCUUAUGCUCUUUAAUAAAUCCAUGUUUAAAUCUGAA